UGCUCAUCCUCCCGUUCCGACAGUCUACGUUUUCCCUCACUACCUUUGCCGUUCCGAACCCUAGUCUUCUUCGAACAGGUACGGAGUAUCUCCGGUUCCCAUCGCAUAUCGUAGAUUCACACGACGAUUAGAUUUCCUUCCUCUCAUACUUCGUCGUCGUCGAGGCUGGGAUGCGAGACCUGAGGCCGAAUACGGUCUCUGAUCGCAUAUGUUUCGGCGUAUGAGAUACUUGAUCGGCCUUCCUACCAAGAAUCCACCGUCGAAGAAAUUGCUUGAUGCAAGGCCACGGCAAAUUCGUUUCGCACCACCCGACAUGUUGGAGACUGUGCACGAAAUCGCCAUAUAUAUUCAUCGAUUCCAUAAUCUCGAUCUGUUCCAGCAAGGAUGGUACCAGAUAAAGAUAAGCACGAGGUGGGAAGACAGCAACUUGGAUUCUUGCGGUACUCCUUCCAGGGUUAUUCAGUACGAAGUUCCCAACGUACUUGCGGAUGAUGUUUUGGGAGUUUGGAGGAUUGAUGAUGCUGAUCAUAGUUUCUCAACUCAACCAUUCAAAAUCAAAUAUGCUAGACAGGAUGUUCCUCUAUCUAUUAUGGUGUCUUUCAACUUACAUAACGGAAAAGAUGAGAGACCAUCAAUACGUUCAGUAAUACUAAAGUUUGAACUUUUGUAUGCUCCAACCUUGGAAAAUGGAAAUGAAAUUCAGUCAACUUACAAUUUGAUUCCAGCGUCUAUUCAUGAGUUCAGGAUACCUCCUGAAGCACUUCUGGGUCUGCACUCAUAUUGCCCUGUUCACUUUGACACUUUCCAUGCAUCACUUGUUGAUCUAAGUGUCCAUGUUGUUUACUUGAAAUCUGGUACAAGCACACCUGAGAAAUUGUUGAAGCAUGUAACACGAACUUCUCUAAUGACAGAAAAUAUUGCUGAUGAAUACCAGGAAGGGCCACAUCAAAUGCUAGGUCAAGUACAGUGGUCAAAAGCAAUUGAAAUUGUGAAAUCACUAUCUAUUUCAUGUGAGUUACUUCUUAAACAAAUUAAAAAUUUGAGUAGAGCAAUUGGUCAAGCUAUUGAUGAUCUACAAGAUCUUGAUAAACUUGAGUUAAGUGGUUCUUCCUUGAGGAAUGACUUAUCUACUUCAAGUGCGUCCAAGAUGGGGGUUGGUCUUUCACCUAACAUGCUAGAUAACAAUCUCAAGAAACCAAAUGGUACUGUAGACUUUGGAAAUGAUUUGAUUCUCAACUCUUUGUCAAUGGAAGAGUUGUUAGGCGCCCUUUUUACUCUUGGCAACCAUCUUUCUUUUCUAUGGAAUACAUUUUUGAAGUUCCACAGGAUAAAUAGAGUUAAAAUACUUGAACAUCUUCUUGGUGUGUGGUCCAUGGAUCGGAAAGUAGAUUGGUCCGUUUGGGUGGUUCAUUCAAAAAUGGAAGUCCCCAAUCACUACUUGAGAAAUGGAUCCAAUGAAUCCUCUCACCAUAACAUUACCGGAAAAGUUGCUGUGAGGAAGGCCAAUGAUGAGCCUGCUCAAAAAGCAACAUCUCGUGCGGAACUUCACAGGAAAACAAUUGCUCAAAUGAAAAUCAACAGCUGUUCCAUUCAGGACAUGUAUAUUUUUGGUGAUCCUUCACAUGCUCCUGUUGUUUUUGUGGAACAACAGGCCAUAAAUCUUCCAAAUUACACGGAUUAUCAUUUGGAUCAGAAUGGUGCUACCAACUUGACUGUUCCUGCAAAAGAUGUUGUACCUAGAUUCCUGGAACCUAAGAAAACUGGCCGUGUACUACGAGUGGUUGUCUUUGUGCAUGGAUUUCAGGGGAACCAUCUGGAUCUACGGCUAGUUCGGAAUCAAUGGCUUUUGAUUGAUCCUGGAGCUGAAUGUCUUAUGUCAGAAGCUAAUGAAGAGAAGACAACAGGGGAUUUCAGAGAAAUGGGGGGUCGGUUGGCUGAGGAGGUCAUUCUCUUCCUUAGGAAGAAGAUGGAUAAGCUUUUGAGAUAUGGAGGCUGUAAAGAUAUAAAACUUAGCUUUGUUGGGCAUUCUAUUGGAAAUAUUAUCAUAAGGAGUGCGUUGACAGAGAGCGUAAUGACACCUUUCAUGAAGCACUUGCACACAUAUAUGUCAAUAUCAGGGCCACAUCUAGGUUACUGGUACAGUACAAAUUCUUUAUUCAAUUCAGGAUUGUGGUUGAUGAAGAAACUCAAGGGAGCGCAAUGCAUUCAUCAGCUUACCUUCACUGAUGAUCCAGAUCCUCAUAAUACAUUCUUUUACAAGCUCUGUAAGAUGAAGACCCUGGAACAUUUCAAAAACAUUAUAUUGUUAUCGUCCCCACAGGUAAAAAAGAGGCAAUCUUAAAGCAGGGGAGAAGGCAUACUUAAUGAACAGAGCAAUGUGAGGAAGUCUUUUUGUAUUGUUAACCCAGUUAUCGCGAUCCGACUAAUCCUGGAGGUGGAUGGCCCAAGGACGGUUAUGUUCCUUACCAUUCUGCCAGAAUUGAAUUAUGCCAAGCAUACUCAUUGGAUCUAUCAAAGAAGGCAAAUAUCUUCAUGGAAAUGCUGAAUAAUUGCUUGGAUCAGAUCUGUGCCCCUUCAUCUGAAAGGCGAGUAUUGUUGCGGUGUGAUGUGAAUUUUGACACAUCUUCUCAAGGGAGAAACUUAAAUACAUUCAUUGGACGAGCAGCCCACAUUGAAUUUCUUGAGACUGACAUAUUUACAAAAUUCAUCAUGUGGUCCUUUCCAGAAUUUUUCCUUUGAAUAACAAGUUGGAUAAGCUUCUUUACUGCCCUUUCAUCCACCUCUGUGCCGACUAACGUUAGUCCAGUGAUUAAAUAGCAGGAUUUCACCCUUUAUCUAUAUAGUUUUAUUCUUUUUCUCACCAGUGUACAUGUAGUCAUUUUUUACAUAUAUGAAUUAGGCUAAAUCAGAUAAGGGUUAUGCAGAUUAUGUGAAAAGGAAGUCUGCAGCUCUAGUGUUUGUAUCAUAUGCUAGAACAAGUGUAGUUCACUGAUUUUCUCUGUUUUGUUGGCUGAAUAAUUUGGUUUUUCUUCAUUGAAUCUUCUGAUCCAUUUUUUUUUCAUGUGACUUCAAGCUUGUGUUGUGGAUGAUAUACUUCAAUUUCCAGAAUACCCAUGAACAGAAGAAUUGUCCUCUCAGAUGGUAGCGCUGGAUCCAGGAUUUAUUUUCUUCUCUUUUGUAUUAUAUUAUCCUUUUUUCCCCAUAUAAGAAAAGUUAUGAAAGUUUUCCAUAUCAUGUCAGUGGCGGUGUUUGUUA